UACGUAGGUGACCAGCGUUGUCCGGAUUUACUGGGCGUAAAGAGCUCGUAGGCGGUCUGUCGCGUCGGGGGUGAAAAUCCAGGGCUUAACCCUGGACCUGCAUUCGAUACGGGCAGACUAGAGUUCGGUAGGGGAGACUGGAAUUCCUGGUGUAGCGGUGAAAUGCGCAGAUAUCAGGAGGAACACCGGUGGCGAAGGCGGGUCUCUGGGCCGAUACUGACGCUGAGGAGCGAAAGCGUGGGGAGCGAACAGG
rnacentral:rRNA from 1 species